UACGGGGGGUGCGAGCGUUGUCCGGAAUCACUGGGCGUAAAGGGCGCGUAGGUGGCCUGAUAAGGGUGUGGUGAAAGUCCGGGGCUCAACCCCGGAUCUGCCGUGCCGACUGUUAGGCUGGAGUACUGUAGGGGCAGGCGGAAUUCCGGGUGUAGCGGUGGAAUGCGUAGAGAUCCGGAGGAAGACCGGUGGCGAAGGCGGCCUGCUGGGCAGUUACUGACACUGAGGCGCGACAGCGUGGGGAGCAAACAGG
rnacentral:rRNA from 1 species